GGAGCACGCCAGGCCGCCGCUGGUGCAAGGGUCGCAAGGCCGCACUGGAGGAAGGUCCGGACUGCACAGGGCAGCGUAGGAGCUAACGACUCUCCACCGCGAGGUGAGGAUCAGAGCAACAGAGACGAGUCCGCGUUGCGCGCGGAUUCGCGCCGAGGCGCAAGCCGAGGCACGAGUCCCAACGCGCGAGGCGGGGUGAAACGGGCAAUCUCUACGCGCAGCAACACCGAAUAGGCCGGCAUUGACGUGGUCCCGCGGAGCCGGCGGGUAGGUGGCACCGAGCCGGGUGGGCGACCCCCGGCCCAGAGGAAUGGCGGUCACGGUGGGAGCAAUCCCACUGCACAGAAUCCGGCCUACCGGCGCGCUCCACAC
rnacentral:RNase_P_RNA from 1 species